UACAGAGGUCUCAAGCGUUGUUCGGAUUCAUUGGGCGUAAAGGGUGUGUAGGUGGCGCCGUAAGUCGGGUGUGAAAUUUCGGAGCUUAACUCCGAAACUGCAUUCGAUACUGCGGUGCUUGAGGACUGGAGAGGAGACUGGAAUUCAUGGUGUAGCAGUGAAAUGCGUAGAGAUCAUGAGGAAGACCAGUGGCGAAGGCGGGUCUCUGGACAGGUCCUGACGCUGAGGCACGAAAGCUAGGGGAGCAAACAGG
rnacentral:rRNA from 1 species